rnacentral:lncRNA from 1 species
GGGAUAGCCGCGCGGGAAUGAAAUCAGCGGCUCCUGGCAGCUGACGGCUGAGCAUCCAGGACUCUUGCAGCCUGAAUCAGUGGCAAAGAGAACGCUGGGUUCAUAAUGCUCAAAACUAACCCAAUACAAGCAGCAGCACUGACAGCAGUAACAGCGAUAAGCAUUGGCGACAAUGCUGAUGGGUCACAGCCUGUUCUCUGGGUUUGGAAAUAUCCAGAAUUUGGAUCACAUGGGAGCCCUCAUCACACUGAGUUCCAGAAGUGGCGCCAUAGGGGUUGGUGGUCCCAUUCCAUUUAGGAACUCUAUCCCUCUCUCCAGGGACCCUUAUGUGGAGCAAAAAGAGAAGUGUCUGCUGUCACUUGGCAAGAGAGAAAAUGAGCCCUCACCCAGUGGCUGAAGGAAGCAGAGACAGACAUCCACAGAUAUACACUGAGCCGAAAUCGGGAAUUUAGUUGAAGAGAGGGAGGAAUGAAGAACGAAGGGGUCUGUACCAGGUUGGAGAAACCCACAGGAACAGUUGACCUGAACAAGGGAGAGCACAUCGACCCCAGAUGCUGUCUGGGAGGCCAGUACAAGACUGAUCCAGACCCCUGAACAUGGAUGUCAAUAAGAAGGCCUCUGCACUCCAGGGAGCCUCUGGUAGUGGAUUAGUAUUUUCCCCUGGUGCAAGAAGGGACUUUGAGAGCCCAUCCCACAUGAAGGACUACACUCUGGCCCUGGACACAUGGGGAAGGGCCCAGGACCAGCACAGGAAGAUUUGGUGGACUUUGCAGAGCCCCCGUUGAGGGCCCUACCCUGCCUGGGGAGUGGUGG